rnacentral:tRNA from 1 species
GGCCCGUUGGUCAAGCGGUUAAGACACCGCCCUUUCACGGCGGUAACACGGGUUCGAAUCCCGGACGGGUCA